UACGUAGGUGGCAAGCGUUGUCCGGAAUUACUGGGUGUAAAGCGCGCGUAGGCGGUAGGCCAAGUCUGCUGUGAAAUCGCCCGGCUCAACUGGGCGCGGUCGGUGGAAACUGGUCAACUGGAGGACGGUAGAGGCGAGUGGAAUUCCUGGUGUAGCGGUGAAAUGCGCAGAAUAUCAGGAGGAACACCGAUGGCGAAGGCAGCUCGCUGGGACGUACUGACGCUGAGGAAGCGAAAGCCAGGGGAGCAAACGGG
rnacentral:rRNA from 1 species